CAGUCGUACUAACGGGAAAUCAACCUUUUGGAGUCGUGAAUUUUGGAUUCUUCUGAGAGGAUCGGAUUCAAAUAUUUGCACUUUUUAGGCGUAAUUUCUCGUUCAGUAGGUUAACAUCGAUUUUGAACAUUAUAAAAUGAUCGGAGGAAUGUAGCUUCGGUCUCGUAUUGAAGUGUUAUAGCCUUUGGUAGAUGUAAUGAUCGAGAUCGAGGGUUGCAACGAAUACCCUUUUGGGCUAUCCGUCUGAUCUCUGAUACGUUGCCUCGGUAUCGAAAGCGUGCUUACGGUAUUGAGGUAUUACGGUCAAAAGGUUAGAACGUGAUUACA
rnacentral:rRNA from 1 species